CCCGCAGUGUUCAUGAUUUUUUUUAUGUGUCAUGGCAUUUUGUUUUUCUUUCUUUAAUUAAAUAUUUAAAUGUUAUGAGAACUAAUUUUUGUUAGAAUUUUGUUUACGUUAUUCCAACACCAAGGCGUUUUGCAUGGCUGCCAGUUGCAAUUCGAGACGGUAAUAGUAUUCCGCAGAAGUAUCGAUCAAUAUCUUAUUCGACAAAAACGAAAAUCAUUUUAAUUUUUUCCUUUUUAAUGGCAAAAUUCAUACAAUUAGCCCAGAAUGGAGACAUCUAUUAAAAUGUUUUCAAGAUUUCUCUUCAGAGAGUUUUGAUUUGACUAGCUACACAACAAGAAAGGGAGAGACAAUUGCGAGUAAUUUUUAUGGGCUUCUGAUUGGUUGAAUCGAUUCAAAAUGGCCGCGCCCAACAGCCAAAUUCUAGAGAGUGUUGUGUAGACUACUGUAGAACGCCGGAAAACCAUACUUAGUGCCUGCCAAGCUUACGAGCCUGUAUUUUGAUCGAUUUAUUUUCGUCAUGCGUAAAACAAGUCCCGCGAUCUUCCUUGAGCCUGCCAACGAGAUUUAUUCCCAUCAAGGUCAUAUCGUGUGCUGUUCGAUAAAAUGGACCCAUUUGGAGUUUCAGCUUUUCAGCUGAUGAAAUCCAGGAAGCAGUUUCCUGCUUGUUGACGGGUACCUACAUUUUGAAUCGAGAUCUAUACGCGAUUUUGGACCUGUUAGCAUAGACAGAUUCCCAACAAACAGGUAUGCAAAAUCAAUACUUUUUAUACUGUUACGGCGCCACUCUUCCACGCAUCAGCCAGGGAAAUUGAAAGCAACAAGAAGACAACUCAGAUUUUAAUUCCAUUUUACCCACCUUAUUUCAAAACUUCUCCCUGAUACGCCAAUGUCAGUUCCUGUAGAUAUUUAGCCUUUAGCAACUAAAAUGUAAGACAAUUCAACUUGUGAAUGUCAGUUGUGUUUUUCCCAGUAAAUAUGUCUUACAAUUAUUGUCAAGGCCCUAUUGGAAGUUAUCAGAAAGGGAGAUUGGAAAGAUCGCAUAUUAGGCUAGUUGCCAUGGCAAAAUAUAUUUCUUUUCCGUUAAAGGUAGCCUAGUCUAUAUAUAUUUAUAACCUAUAGACGUAUUUGCCUUUCAAACAGCACGUUAUACAACGCGCAUUUAAAGGAUUUCUCAAGUUUGAACGUACGUAUAAAGAGAUGUAAUGUCUGCCAUUGAUAAUUUAAAUUCUUCCUUGAUAACCCACAGACAGCAGCAUAACACAAAAAAAGUCUGUUGCGUGAUAACCUUAAAUGGCUUUAUCGUUUUGAAUGGAACAAGCUGUCCUUUUAACUCUUGAUAUUGUCGUUGAUGCAGCUUUAUUUCCAAAACUCUUUGUGUAUAUGCCACUACAUUGCCUCAGUUUUAAGUUGGAAAUGUCCCCGGCGACCACAAACUGUAAAAGUUCAUCGUUUAAUACCCAAACAAUGCUCUAGAUAUACAUAUUUAAUCGACUUGGAUAAUGCAUAUACAGUCUAUAUAGCUAAAGGUUUUUCUUUCCACAGCAGCGAGUAAGAGUUUUGCUAUUUUGCACACGGUGCUGCAGAGCCUGUCAAUCAUUAACGUGUAUCAUUCAAGUUUAACUAUAGCUAUGUUUAUUUUUUUCCAACAGUAGUAGUCAUUUUACUUUUUCCUCGACGUAAUCUUUUCUUGACGUCAGUGUUUAUUGAUUGAAUUUUGCCCCCAGCAGUAUCACAGCAAGACCAGUAAGCACACAUUUUUUUAUCAUAGUAGACUAUAUAUUAGGUAGAGGUAUCGUAUUUCCAAAUUUGGUAACUUUAGAGCAAGCAGGCGAUGUUUAUAUUCACAGACUAAUUUUCAUUAAAUUUUAUUUGUAUUUAAUUUUUUAAUGAAGUGAGAAAAUAGGUCGUUAAUUUUAAUUUUCUAUUUUGCUGGUCGCUAGAAAAAGUUUAGUUUGAUAGGGAGUCCGACUUUGUUGGUAUCCCUCAAACCUACAUUGCAACAUUGUCAGGGCUAAACAGCAGCCAUAAUUUUUUUUUUUUUUUUUUUUGCACACUUGAUAAAGCUCAGUUUAUUUACAACAGUAUUGUCACGUAGUAUAUUAUUCUUAGACAAAGAAACAUAUUUGGUUUUUAAGGACGUAUAGUAAUCCUUACAAAAACUCAAUGUUGUUUUCCUUGGACUAGUUCAGACAGCGUUAACGUUUCCAAAACGUGUAUUUAAAAUUUAACGACUUUGUGUUGUUCCUCCCAUAAGCAGUGUAUUUUCCUUCCCUUUAGAAAAAAGACGGGCAUGUAUCACUGUGCUCUUAUUGGCUGGAUGCAAUAUCAAAAUGGCUGCCAGCACCAAGUCCACUGCUAUGUAAGCUUAGAGAAGAAAAAAAAUGCCGCCCUUACAUCUCGGCGCAUACACCCCCAGAGUAGUUACCGUAUGCUUCCCUUGUAGCUUUUUUGUGAUAAUCAAAUAGGGGGACUGGUAUUUUAACGUAUCACAUUGGGCACAAAUAUCAAGUAGCGCGUAAAAAGUUGAGAGUGCAAAUUUUUGUGUCCAUUACUCUAAUCAGUCGAUCAGAUAAAGGACCAUCGCAUUUUCUUUAUAAACGCGGGAAAAUCCGUCGAAGGAAAUAUCCGCAGAAAUCUGUCAACUCUGCGUGCCAACAUCAGUCAGCUGAUUUACAGAGAAAACUUGUGCUUGUUAGCUCUGUCAGUUUUCCAUCCAUAAUCAUCGAAGCCACGAACCACUUUAAUUGUAGCUGACGUACGAUUUGAUUAGAAACUGUUUACGAUGUAGAUUAUGCUUAUUUUUAGCCAUAAAAUUCGUUUAAAACUUGCUUACUAAAUGUAUCUUGUUUUAUUGUCUUUUGGCAAGUUUAGACAAACAAAAUGUUAAUGGUUUACGCAAAGACAUAUUUUACUCGGUAGGCUAUUCAUUACAAUAGACUUUCAAGAGAGAGAGAAAUUAUACAUCCACUUACUUUAUGUUUAACGCAUAUAGUACACUUUCAAUCGUAACCUUUCCCAAAAAACUGACCUGCCCUAAAUGAGGUAGGAUGCGUGACAGAAAACAACGACGGUUGGUCGAAAUCUAUAUACCGACCUUUGUCGCUUUCAGGCUCUAUUCACGAACAACUUGUUUUUGACAGCCAAGUACUGCCCCAUAAAAGCUCUCUUUGUAUUGGGAUAUUUUGCUUGUGUGGGCAGGCUCAUAAUAUGAAAACGAUACCUUUUUUCCCGCCGAGUAUUAGCAGCAAAAGUAAUGUUGGUGUGAAAGUUGAUUUCUCCGUAGUUCCGUGUUAGCCAUCGAAUACAAAGUGUCUUUUUACCCAGAAGCUUGGUAUGUAUGAUUCUCUUAUUUUAAUAACGAAAAUUACCAUGUAGAGAUUCUGUUUAUCCCAUUCAGCCAGACACUUGGAUGAAGAACAUGAACUAAAAGUCUAUACGCCAUGGAUUGGUCUUUGACGAUGAGAUGAACGUGUUCUAUAACACAGAUUUGUUUUUAUUGUUUUCAUAUCCAUGUUUCAAGUGUCGCAUUCCAUAACGAGCAGCAGCCUUUAUAUGGAUGGGAUUUAUGCGUUUGUUUUCCAGGUUUCACGUUUGUAUAAUAUGCAAGCUAUACUGCUUUACAUUCUAUAUAGUCUUGUUUCUAGACCCCUUAAGAGAAUUGCGUCUCCCUUUUUCUACUGGCAGCUAACUAAUACUUUUCAAAGUGGCUCACUUAUAGUCUACCAUUUUGUAUGGAGCUGCUGUCAUUUCCAAUCAUUCCAUCUCGCCUGUUUGCUAUGCUCCAUCCUACUCGAUCCCAAUUAAAACGCUUUCUUGAUGGUUUAAGCCCAUACCCCCAUAUUAAAAUUUUGAUCGGUAAAGCUUUCAUGUGAUAGAAAAACUCAACCUAGUUCGCUUAUCGAGAUAUAGGCCCCUUUGGGUUCGUUCAAAUAUUGCUGUCAUCAUCCUAAUCGCAAAUGGGCGACGUGACUGAUCACUAUACGCUUAGAUGAAAGUUAAUUCUGUAGCACUUUAAGUACAUCCUCUUCAAGAAAAAAAAUACUUUUACUUCUCAGUAAAAGGAAAAUAAAGAGCUUUGUGGGCUAAAACCUCUUCUUUAAACUCUGGAACUUGCAUAGUAAGUUGUCGUCUUUGUCGGUGUAUAUCUGUGCGUUAUUCUAACGAUCGUCCGUAUAGAAAAGACCGACUUAUGUUGCAAAGUGUCAAUAUAUACUAAAGUUCAGAAGAAACAAGAAAAACGACUUACAAAGUUUGGUGCACUACUAGGAAGAUUGUUUCCCUCGUAGGGAAAAAGUAUGGAGAAAAAUAUAAUAUUAGACUAAAAAGUUUAGGCUAUAGGCCUACAGUAAAAGCAAUUCAAUAACUUUCCAUUUGUAUGAUGGCGUUGUAUACACGCGAAAUGGGUAAACUUCAGUGAUUUGUAGUUUUACGCAGUAGAAAAUCGUAAAAUGACAACUAUAAUCAUUUCACCUUCAUAUGGUUGUGUGGGUAUAAGAAAGCAAAAAAAAAGAUAAUAAACUGUAUCUAUUGGGUGCUGCUUAUAUCGAUUGGCCAAUCUUUCCACCCAUUUAUGGAUAUAUGUGGACCUUUGUAUAACGACAUAUAGCUAGCCUACGUUUUUCUAUUUGCAGAAUGCAGUGCUGAUUCAAGACGUCACAUCGUCGUUGUUUGUUCAUUCCCAGCUUUCCAGAAAGUUAAAAAUUUCAUAAAAACUUGGCUGCAUGUACUUCUUGAAAGACUUCUGUAUUGUGGCUUCUUAGAAUAAACUUUUUAAUUUUAUAGGAAAUAGUUGUUCAUGUGUGGUUUACUAUGCCGUUUUAAUUUGACUUUUCAGCUGUAUCAAUUUCCCUACCCACAAUUCUCAAAAUCUGCUGUUCAGUGUGUAAGUACACCAAAAAAAUUUACUGCAAAUAAGAUUAAUAUUGUUAUAAGAUAUGUGUGCACAAUAACGGCAUUUAUUAUAAACCGUCUAUAGGAUUUCUUUCGUAUGGAAAGUGCAAGUUGUUAUAGCAACGUGACCGGCUGAACUGUCAACAGCUGCGUUCAUCCCUCGAGAGUCUUAUCAAUAGCUAACAGGUUGUGCUGCGUCCAUAAGAAAUCUAUAACUGUUGAGAUCUGUUUGACAUAUAGGUAGAAAAUCGGAGUGCUUAUUUUGGGUUUAUAAAAAGAUCAUACAAUUUUUUGGCUUCAUACUGGAGAAAGGCAUCAUAAUGCACCAGAACUCAGGACUAAAGAUAGUGUUUUCUGUAUAAUAAAGAUCGUAUACUGAAUGCUAGUUGAUAUAACUGUUGAGCUGAACUUUUCUGAUCGUUGACAUAUCGUUGACUGCACCAGCCUUUAUAAUUCUGUCUUUAGCAGAUAAAUCAGACGUUUUGCCUCAGUGCAGCAUUAAUACCCGAGUAACGGAAAACAAGACAUCGUAGUCUUGACGAUUUCUGUUGCUCGAAUGUGUGCUGGUGUAGUCUAGACAUUGACGUCUGCUAUAGACGCAAUAGUAUUACGUAGCUAUUUAUACUAGCCUAUACAUUUACAGUCAGAUGCUAAUUGUUCUUAAUACGAACAACAACAAAAUUAUAGUGAAGAUAAUCAUUCUGUGCUUUUGCACCUAUAGUCUACUGUUCCAGAAAGAGAUCACAAGCUUGUUCAUAUUGGCUUAGGUUAUGAACACAAACAUUGAUCUUCUCGCUUUUGGCAAGGCGAUGAUGCAAUACAAAUAGCACCCAGGAAUAUAUAGUCACGAGGUUCUAACCUUAUCUCUACUGUCUAUUCAGUCGUUAUCAAUCUCAUUGGGAUUGUAUCUCUAUGAUAGCUUUACGUUAGAUUUCUGGGCUGGGGAGGUGCAACACCAUAAAUCAUUCAGUGGUGCAUUCGUGGAGAGGCAAUGCACAGUCUUGCAAUCAUUAUAACAAAAUCCUCUGCCUAAAUUUAAAGCUCAAAAAUUGGUAUCUAGAGAGAAAAUAUUUGUUGGAAACAUCAAUUUAUCGUAUUCGUAUCGAAGAGGGAAGGAUGGCAGAAAUGCUAUGCCAAAGCUCCGCCAGGUCGGGCUACAGUAUAUCGAGACUUGUGUCUUUUUGGUAGGUUCAGAUUUCGUUUCGAUUACGUCCAUUGAUUUGAAAUGACUGCCUUUUACUGAGGAAAAGAAAAUUUUGAAAUGCAAUUCUCGAUCGAUAGUCUAAAACCCCUUUUCUACGUUAUGUGAAAAGAAAAGAAUUCUUCGUCCGUUGUGCUGUUAUAAGGUGUAAUGUAAACUAAUUCAACAUUUAAAUAUUGUGAACCUAUUUUCCAGCCAUUAUUUUAAUGACUGACACGAUAAUUAAUCAGGACGAAACAAGGAAAAGAAUAUAAUUAAAAAAAUCAACACUGCAAUCGAAUUUCUCCAUGAAAAUAUUCAACUAAAUCUUAGAAUUUCUAAAAGAUCCUAAUUAGGCUGACUCAGAUAUUUCUAAAAUUUCAACAAUCUUUUAAUGCAUAGUAAAGAAUUUCUAUAAUUAGAGAGUAGGCCCUGUACAUUGUCUUCGUUAAAUUUGAAAGAAAAAGAAAAAGGAAAAAAAAACAAAAAGAAAAAGAAAAAAAAAAUAUUUUUCUGUUUAUUCUGUCGUCUGCCGCGACAAUUUUUUUAUAAACGCCAUAGUCCUGUCUCCAUUGGCUGUAUUCCAUAUCAAGAUGGCUGCCUCCGAGGAACAAUAACAGGUUGUGUUUUGCGUGUGUUCCUUUCUUUUUUUGUGUUUUCAAGAAGUUACACAUAAAUGUCCGCUUUGUGCAGUUCCAGUGUUCAAAGAGGACAUCGGCUAGGAAGGACAACUACUUAUCGAAAAUUUAAAAAAUUUAAUUUCUUAGAAGUACGCUGCUUAAUCUGUUUCUGGAACUGCCAUUAAGUCUCAACUGUAUUUGGACGGUAUACAAAGUUGGAUGAAUACGCAAAACAAAAAUUUUCUUCACUUUUUUCGUCUAAUUGAAAUCAGAAGAGAAAGCCAAACUUUGUUGAAGUAAAUGUGGAAGUCGUCUGCUGCUGUUAGUUAACGACUUAUUGCGGAUCCCAAACAAUGCUCCAACGACAUCUAUACCCUGUCUAAUGAAAACUAAAAGGAUCAACACCACCAGAGAAACUCCAACCCUCCAAUAAUCAACGGCGCAGAAGUCCAAAACCAGCUGGCGUCACAGCUGGGUGCUUAUACCAAUUGAAAUUGAAUUAUUGCAGAGUUUUGCAUUUCUAGCAAGACUGGUCGUAAUGCAAAGUGGUUGUUGAAUAAGGUAUUGGCGUGAAAUAUAAAACAUUCUACAUUUAAACGACACGGAAGAAGUUUCUCCCGGGAAACUCAUUAGUUAAAUGAAGCAGAGCACUACUGAACGGAUUUUUGUGUAAUACGUUAACGGAGGCAAAAAUUAACCUCGAUUUUCGGAACAGCCCAGAAAGUGAAAUCAGACUUCAGCAAAGCUCACAUCAUGACAGAGUUUUUCAAAGUUAAAAGCAACAUAUGCAGAGUAAUGGGAAAACAUUGGGGUUAACUGAAGAACAUUACGAUCCAAUGACAGAAUUGCCACAGUGAGAUUAAUCGUGCGUCUGUUGACUUCUUUUCAACGAAAUACCAAUCACAAAAUCAGUGUUUUCUUUGUUGCUUUGUGGAUUGUCCGUGAAAAGCAGCUCACGUCAUCAACCGACUUGUUGCGUCGUUCAAAGAAUACGAGUAUGGGUGUUUUGUUGUAUGUGUUUUCUCGGCAAUACUUUCCAUAAGCACUUGCCAGCUAUUGAUUAUCCGAAUUCAAAUUGAUGUGUAAAAGCUGCAUAGGUAAAUUACGUAGGCUAUUAUUUCUGGAACGUAGGAAGAAGAUAGAGCUCUUUGAAAGACAUAAAAAUCCAAGUAAUUUUCAAGUUAAUUUUGAAAAGAAAAUGGAUAUAAUCACGGUAAGUUGGUACGACAAAUACUUGACUAUAACUCGCUCACUUUGUUACAAGUAAGUAUCCUCUCACAAGGCGAGAUGAGUCAGAUCAUCUGUGAUUGGUCGAAAGCCCAUUCAAAAUGGCCGCCCCAUUACGAAAGGAUGGGUAAGAAAUGGCGCGCGAGAUCGGCAGCUGCCAAAAACCUUUCCCACGUCGUCUCGUAUUGAGGAAGGUCGAGUGACUCAUCGUCAUCACGGUUUCAUUGUGUACAUUCAUUACAACUACACGGGUUCAUAAAGUAAGCCUAAAAUAUCGAAUUAGCUCCAAGAAAGUGUGAUCAAGUGACUCAAGUGAUGGUGAUCCACCUGACAGCCGGCUGAAGAAGCCGACAUACCAAUGCAAUGUAGUACCAAAAUACUCGUUCAGCAAAGCUACCCAAUGAAAAAUGUUUCCAGACUCGACAGAUGUUGAGACAUUGUCGCAGGAAUCUCGACGAACAGGAUCUUGCUUAUUUUUUGGGUAACUUAACUUAACGAAACGGGGGGAAAAGGAAAAAGUGGGGUAGAUUGUUUGGUGUUUCGUCACAUGUAGGUAGUGAACAGCGUUGGCCAUCUAGCGGUAAUUUUCUGAUAGUCCGUGCAAGCAAAAAUUAUCCUACCGGUUUUUGAGGAAAGGUAUCCUUCUCAUACUUCUUCAAACAUUCAAAUCAUAUAUGCAUGAUUAGCUAGCCCGGUCUAAUCGUUUUCGCAUUCCGUGCCGUUGUGUGAUCUUGCAUAACCACAAACGUAUUUUCCAAGUAGGAUGGCAAUUAACUGCUGAGUUUGCAAAACAUUCGUCCCUAAGAAGAAAAAGCCCCAUUUUACCCUUGUAAGUGCGACCUAGCGUGUCAGUGUAUCUCUCAAGAAGUUGUCAUGUGCGUCAAGUGGACAGGGUGAUGUUUCAUAGUUGUAAAGCAUGUCAAUAUUAUGUUAGUCUUCAAACAAUAAUCUCUUCUUUAUUUAGACAUGAUUUAUCCCCUCAGAAAACCAAACUAUUAGGCGUGCCCAACCAGUUGUCAAAUCCUGUUGCGGGGAAAACCUUAAGAAAGGCUUUUUAACCUAAAAAUAAGUAAGCAAUGGAAAAAAACAAAAACAAAAGGCAAACAACAGCUUAAAGAACAAAAGAGAAAAAGAAAUCGAAGCGUAGCGGAAGGAGAACAAAACAGAACUAGAAAACCAAAACCACGUAAACAAUUUAAUUUAUUAUACGUAUUCAUUUACGGGGAAGAGUUAGCUUUGAGUAAAUAACAAGAAUUUCUGCAGCAGAAUCAACAUUUAAAGGCGGAAUCCGUAAUUUAUUUUGAUGAAAAAUAGCAAAUUUACAGACGCACUCAUGGCUAAAUCAAAAAGUCAAUGUACAGCACAUUGAUUUACAUUUACUUUCGAACGUCAGACUGUUGCUGCUUCUUGGCCUGUUUCAUUUUCAUAGCCGUCCCUUUCAUUGAAGUGAUGACUUGCUUCUUGUUCUCCUCCUUGAGCCGUUUCUCUUCUUCUUCAUCCACCGGUUCGACCCCAUCCUUAUUUUUGUCGGUUUCGUCAACCAGAUCAUUUUGCUGUCGAAAAAAGUCUUCAUAUGUAAACUUGACGCAAUGGACCGAGUCGCACAACUCGAAACCGCAUUGUAAACAUGCUGGAAGCCGGAUCUCCGUCACUCCUGAACGGUUUGUUCUAAUUAUUCGACGUACGGAAAGGCCGCUGACAAACCCACUAAUCCUCCUAGUUCGAAUCCCUCCUUCUCGUCUUGUUUUCAAUCGCAAUUUCUCCAAUUCGACCAACCUUAAACAAAAUUGUCGUCUUGUUAAGAUUUCGCAAAACAGCAACUUAGCCAAUACUUAGUAAAGAACUCGUCGUCCUGUUUCGAGGCGGGCCGUGCAACCGUCAACAUUUUCCAGUUAAUGUCGACAGUGGCGAGAUCCAGGAUGCGAACGGAUUGCAUGGCCACUGGUAUAGGAUCCGGGUAAGAAUGUCCACAGUUAACGCUGAUUGGAUGGAUUCCGGCGACGAUACGACCAAUCUUUUGCGGUGAUUUGUCCCUCGCACCUCCAGUCCGAGCAUAUUGACGGUUUGAUACGAAAUUCAGGGAUGUGUGCCAAGAGUUUUUCAAACUCCUGUUUGGUGCGUGGCCGGGCCGUGGAUAAGUCGAGAGCCUGCAUGGCCUCGGCGCGCGGCGCCAACAGAUCUUCCAACCGAAAAAGAGACAUGGCUGCGCAGAUCUACUCAUGUCUUUUCCAAUCAACCAGCUACAAGCUGAUCUAACGCUGGACGAUGUCUCGUCUCAGCAGCCGUCCCUUCCUGUUUCGUCAAAAUCCACAACAACAAAGGAUCUUUAAUGAAGUAAACUGCUUGUUUGGAGUGCAUGUCCCACUGAACGUUUUGGCCAAGCGUGACAGGAGCAGUCGGCCCACCACUAAUUACAGUUGCCUCGUCCAAUUGCCAAUCGAUCCACAGUGCUACGCCAUUAACAGUGCCAGUGACUGGUAAGUUGACCUUACCUUCCACUUCAGGAAUUUCUUUGGUCAUUAGGGAAAGUGUCGUCAAAUCUAGCAUCAUUAGUUGAAUAGCUGGACUUAGCGCGCGAGUGGGAUAUUCCCACAGAGGAUGAGGCUCAACUUGAGAAUCGCUGGUAUCUAUAGCACUCUGCAAUCGUGGUUAUCAAAAACUGACAGAUCAAUUCCUUGAGUGGAGCGUACCGGUGCCCUGAUUUUCCAUAAAUCUUUCAUCUCGACGGCCAUGGCGUAAAGGUACGCCUUGCCAGGUAAAAUUUUUGUCACGCCAUCUGCCAAUAAGUGUUGCACGUUGUUUUUCCAACGCGCGAAGUAAAGGUUGUGCCAUGGUAGCACAGAGCUCUCGAAAACUGGCUCUCCCAACACCAGAUUUACCUACACAUAGCAAUAAAAAGAAAAACGUAAACCAACGCAAA
rnacentral:lncRNA from 1 species